rnacentral:rRNA from 1 species
CAAUAGCGUAUAUUAAAGUUGUUGCAGUUAAAAAGCUCGUAGUUGGAUUUCUGGUGGGAGCGAUCGGUCUGGCGCUUAGCGCGAGUACUUGCAUCGUCUCCGGCCAUCCUUGGGGAGAGUCUGUCUGGCAUUAGGUUGUCGGGCAGAGGAUCCUCAUCGUUUACUGUGAAAAAAUUAGAGUGUUCAAAGCAGGCUUAUGCCGUUGAAUAUAUUAGCAUGGAAUAAUAAGAUAGGACUUUGGUACUAUUUUGUUGGUUUGCGCACCAAAGUAAUGAUUAAUAGGGACAGUUGGGGGUAUUCGUAUUCCGUUGUCAGAGGUGAAAUUCUUGGAUUUACGGAAGACGAACUACUGGGAAAGCAUUUACCAAGGAUGUUUUCAUUAA